UGGAAGUUUUCAAUCAACCAAACAAAAAGAGAUUUGUGCAUCGAACAAAUAAUACUCUACAGAUGGUACAUACUUUUGAAGUUUAUAAUAUUUUGGAAGGAAAUUUGAUUGGGAAUAAGACGAAGUGAUUUUUGCUUUGUG